GAUGAACGCUGGCGGCGUGCCUAAUACAUGCAAGUCGAGCGAACAGACGAGGAGCUUGCUCCUCUGACGUUAGCGGCGGACGGGUGAGUAACACGUGGAUAACCUACCUAUAAGACUGGGAUAACUUCGGGAAACCGGAGCUAAUACCGGAUAAUAUAUUGAACCGCAUGGUUCAAUAGUGAAAGACGGUUUUGCUGUCACUUAUAGAUGGAUCCGCGCCGCAUUAGCUAGUUGGUAAGGUAACGGCUUACCAAGGCAACGAUGCGUAGCCGACCUGAGAGGGUGAUCGGCCACACUGGAACUGAGACACGGUCCAGACGCCUACGGGAGGCAGCAGUAGGGAAUCUGCCGCAAUGGGCGAAAGCCUGACGGAGCAACGCCGCGUGAGUGAUAAAGGUCUUCGGAGCGGAAAACUCGGUUAUUAGGGAAGAACAAAUGUGUAAGUAACUAUGCACGUCUUGACGGUACCUAAUCAGAAAGCCACGGCUAACUACGUG
rnacentral:rRNA from 1 species